UAUGCACUCUACUGUAAGUCGCUCUGGAUAAGAGCGUCUGCUAGAUGACUAAAA
rfam:Salmo salar isolate Sally breed double haploid chromosome ssa24, whole genome shotgun sequence.